rnacentral:lncRNA from 1 species
CUUCUCCAGUUUGAUCUGGGCACUUCCUACCGGCUUAUCACUCCUCAGAAAUCCGCUGUCAUGAGACGAAGAGGAGCGGCCUCCGCAGAGACGGGACUGAUCUCGACAGCACUAUCACACUCUUCCUGCUCAUCAGGGGACACUGCAGGGGCUGGGGGCCGACUGGAUCCAACGGGACCCCCACAUGCCACUGGAGGAGGAAUCUCAGAUUCGUCAAUCUUCCCUCCUUUCCGUACUGUCGCCAGCAUAGUCUGUAGUGUCUAAACAAGAAUAUUAGAGUUUUAGUUGUUAUAGAUUAUAAUAUGAACCACAUUAUUUUGUGCUAUACAGUGUUUGUUUGUUAAGAUGUGACACUGUAUGAGCUCACUUUGAGGCCUCUCUCAUAUCGCCGGGCUUUAGAAGUUUCCCCUGCAGCUUUGGCAUUGGUAACAGCCAUCCUAUACAAGCUUAUUCUUUCCUCUAAGGUGUGUUCGAUGCUCCCGGGAACUGAUGAAACCUUAGUUUCCUAUGAGAGAAACAGAAAUCAUACAUGACAUGUGAUUUCUUAUAAAAAGCUUGGGAUGGCCGAUUAAUUUAAAUUAAAUUGCAAGCAUGAUUAAAGGUCCCAUGAAAUUAAAAUAAAACAUUUUAAAAAUGUA